rnacentral:misc_RNA from 1 species
UCCGAGUUGACCCCGGCAGUCUCCCAUGAGUCCCCACCACUACGUGCUGGCAACAUGGAACGAGGGUUGCGCUCGUUGCGGGACUUAACCCAACAUCUCACGACACGAGCUGACGACAACCAUGCACCACCUGUACACCAGCCUUACGGGGCGACCAUCUCUGGCCGUUUCCGGUGUAUGUCAAGCCUUGGUAAGGUUCUUCGCGUUGCAUCGAAUUAAUCCGCAUGCUCCGCCGCUUGUGCGGGCCCCCGUCAAUUCCUUUGAGUUUCGGUCUUGCGACCGUACUCCCCAGGCGGAGUGUUUCACGCGUUAGCUGGGCCCCUGAUCCACGUAGACCAAGGGCGAACACUCAUCGUUUACGGCAUGGACUAC